rnacentral:rRNA from 1 species
GGUAACAGGGUGCUUGCACCGCUGACUAGUGGCGAACGGGUGAGUAAUGCGUCGGAGCGUGCCGAGUAGUGGGGGAUAACGCAACGAAAGUUGUGCUAAUACCGCAUACGUACUGAGGUAGAAAGUGGGGGACCUUCGGGCCUCACGCUAUUCGAGCGGCCGACGUCUGAUUAGCUAGUAGGUGAGGUAAAGGCUCACCUAGGCGACGAUCAGUAGCGGGUCUGAGAGGAUGAUCCGCCACACUGGGACUGAGACACGGCCCAAACUCCUACGGGAGGCAGCAGUGGGGAAUUUUGGACAAUGGGCGAAAGCCUGAUCCAGCCAUGCCGCGUGUCUGAAGAAGGCCUUCGGGUUGUAAAGGACUUUUGUCAGGGAGGAAAUCCCUAGCGUUAAUACCGCUGGGGGAUGACAGUACCUGAAGAAUAAGCACCGGCUAACUACGUGCC